GGUGGUAAUGCCGGAUGCUCCAUCACACCGCAUGGUGUGUUGGGAAAGCCUUUGCGGCAUGGGAUGGGGUCGCGUCCUAUCAGCUUGAUGGCGGGGUAACGGCCCACCAUGGCUUCGACGGGUAGCCGGCCUGAGAGGGCGACCGGCCACAUUGGGACUGAGAUACGGCCCAGACUCCUACGGGAGGCAGCAGUGGGGAAUAUUGCACAAUGGGCGCAAGCCUGAUGCAGCGACGCCGCGUGAGGGAUGGAGGCCUUCGGGUUGUAAACCUCUUUUGUUAGGGAGCAAGGCAUUUUGUGUUGAGUGUACCUUUCGAAUAAGCACCGGCUAACUACGUGCCAGCAGCCGCGGUAAUACGUAGGGUGCAAGCGUUAUCCGGAAUUAUUGGGCGUAAAGGGCUCGUAGGCGGUUCGUCGCGUCCGGUGUGAAAGUCCAUCGCUUAACGGUGGAUCCGCGCCGGGUACGGGCGGGCUUGAGUGCGGUAGGGGAGACUGGAAUUCCCGGUGUAACGGUGGAAUGUGUAGAUAUCGGAA
rnacentral:rRNA from 1 species